AGGUCAGUAGCUUAAUGGGUGAGCAGCGGUCUCCAAAAUCGCAGGUUGUGGGUUCAAGUCCCUCCUGGCCUG
rnacentral:tRNA from 1 species